rnacentral:rRNA from 1 species
AAGUCGUAACAAGGUUUCCGUAGGUGAACCUGCGGAAGGAUCAUUACCGAGUGCGGGCCCUCUGGGUCCAACCUCCCAUCCGUGUCUAUCUGUACCCUGUUGCUUCGGCGUGGCCACGGCCCGCCGAAGACUAAUAUUUGAACACUGUCUGAAGUUUGCAGUCUGAGUUUUUAGUUAAACAAUAAUUAAAACUUUCAACAACGGAUCUCUUGGUUCCGGCAUCGAUGAAGAACGCAGCGAAAUGCGAUAAUUAAUGUGAAUUGCAGAAUUCAGUGAAUCAUCGAGUCUUUGAACGCACAUUGCGCCCCCUGGUAUUCCGGGGGGCAUGCCUGUCCGAGCGUCAUUGCUGCCCUCAAGCACGGCUUGUGUGUUGGGCUUCCGUCCCUGGUAACGGGGACGGGCCCAAAAGGCAGUGGCGGCACCAUGUCUGGUCCUCGAGCGUAUGGGGCUUUGUCACCCGCUCCCGUAGGUCCAGCUGGCAGCUAGCCUCGCAACCAAUCUUUUUAACCAGGUUGACCUCGGAUCAGGUAGGGAUACCCGCUGAACUUAA